rnacentral:miRNA from 1 species
AGUCAGACAGAGUCGGUCCUUGGAAGCUUUAAAGCCAGACAUUGACUUCUCUCUAGCUAUGAAAGUGCUAGACGGCACCUUCUUCCAAUACAAGGCUGUCUACAUUGAAAAUCUGUUGUUU